rnacentral:rRNA from 1 species
GGGGAAUUUUGGACAAUGGGCGCAAGCCUGAUCCAGCCAUGCCGCGUGGGGGAAGAAGGCCUUCGGGUUGUAAAGCUCUUUUGUCGGGGAAGAAAUGCAGCUGGUUAAUACCCGGUGCUAAUGACGGUACCUGAAGAAUAAGCCCCGGCUAACUUCGUGCCAGCAGCCGCGGUAAUACGUAGGGUGCAAGCGUUAUUCGGAAUUACUGGGCGUAAAGCGCGCGUAGGCGGUUUUUUAAGUCAGAUGUGAAAUCCCCGGGCUCAACCUGGGAACUGCCUUGGAAACUGCCAGGCUAGAGUCCGGUAGAGGGGAGUGGAAUUCCCCGUGUAGCGGUGAAAUGCGUAGAUAUCGGGAGGAACACCGAUGGCGAAGGCAGCUCCCUGGACCAAUACUGACGCUCAGGCACGAAAGC